rnacentral:rRNA from 1 species
AAAGUCAAGGAAGAUAGGCAAAUCCGUCUUUUGAUGAUGAAGUGCGAUGGGGACUGAAUAAAAGUAGGGAAGUUUCCGAAUCCACACUGUCGAGAAAAGCCGCUAUUGUAUAAUACGUACCCGUACCGUAAACCGACACAGGUAGAUGAGGAGAAAAUCCACAGGCCGACGGGAGAAGUGUUGUUAAGGAACUCGGCAAAAUGACCCCGUAACUUAG